rfam:Bacillus sp. B-jedd genome assembly, contig: CONTIG000001
ACCAAUUUUAAAGCGCCAGAACUAACCCGGACGGAGAUAAGGUUAGUUGACGAGGUGGAGGUUUAUCGAAUGUUUCGGCGGAUGCCUCCCGGCCGCAAGUGCACGGCCGUUUUCCUGCUCCUUAAAUCAUUGAGGCGACUCAAUGGACAAAGGGAAGCAGGCUGCACAGGA